rnacentral:rRNA from 2 species
CACUAUCGUUAACUGAAUACAUAGGUUAACGAGGCGAACCGGGGGAACUGAAACAUCUAAGUACCCCGAGGAAAAGAAAUCAACCGAGAUUCCCCCAGUAGCGGCGAGCGAACGGGGAGCAGCCCAGAGUCUGAAUCAGCUUGUGUGUUAGUGGAACGGUCUGGAAAGUCCGACGGUACAGGGUGAUAGUCCCGUACACCAAAAUGCACAGGCUGUGAACUCGAAGAGUAGGGCGGGACACGUGGUAUCCUGUCUGAAUAUGGGGGGACCAUCCUCCAAGGCUAAAUACUCCUGACUGACCGAUAGUGAACCAGUACCGUGAGGGAAAGGCGAAAA